rnacentral:lncRNA from 1 species
UACAGGUGCGUGCCACCACGCCCGGCUAAUUUUUGUAUUUUUAGCAGAGACGGGGUUUCACCAUGUUGGCCAGGCUGGUCUCGAAUUCCUGACCUCAAAUGAUCUGCCUGCCUCAGCCUCCCAAAGUGCUGGGAUUACAGGCGUGAGCCACCAUGUCCGGCCCCCCACUUUUGUCUUUUGGUCAUCAGCUCCACCUUGGGAGAACCUGGGGCUCGUCCUGAGUGAAACAGCUCUGACUUUCCUCCUCCUCCCGCGGAGGCUUUUCCUCCAGCUCAGCCCUCAGUGCCCUGAAAUCUGUCUCCAAGGAGCUCUCAGGAGAGACGAAGCUACCGCUUCUCCCGUUUGUGGGUUACUUUUCCUCCCGGGGAGAGGGUCGCUGCUGCGCAAGUUAGUUCUGAAAGCAUUUCUCUAGAGCCAGGCAUUAAUGAAGUCCAGGCAGCCCCUCUUCCUUGGUGGGGGAAUUCGGGAACCAGAGAACAGGUGAGACAGGUGGAUUUGCGGACCACAAGCCCCGCCCUCUCCAGCCACCUGUGCCAACCUGGAACAGCCAAUGGGAGAAUGUGCUGCCCCCAGGAUUCAGCCAAUCAGCAGGCGAGGUCUGUGCAUGCUCUGUGUCUGCCUGGCCGUCCUGCCCCAACUUGUGCAGAGAAAGGCCGUUGGGUGCGGGUUUCUGCCACGUCCAGGCAAGACCCCAGCCAGAGGACCCCGCAGAGCAGGCGUGGAAUGGUGGACUCGGGCCACCAUUCUUCAAACACGCCCUCCCAGGCCUCACACCAACUCUGCCCUUUCUCUCCGCCAGGGAAUAAUGAAAAUGAACUUGUCCUCUUCCCGAACCGACAUAUUUUACGGCUGACACGGUCAUAGUCCUCUGGAGUUGACAUCAGUGGGACCUCGGUGAAACUGCAGCGGGAAGAGGAACAGAAGGGUUCCUAUUCCCCAAGAUGGAACUCCAAAGUACAUUUUGAGCAGAAAACCCUAUGUGAAUGGUUCCUCCUGCCUUUUCUUGCCAACAAUAAUAAAAACUGUCCAGUCAUCGCAGUGACAUUAAAAACAACAACUCAAAGCAGCAUGUUCUCAUUUCUCGAAAUUUUGCGCUGCACAGUUAAGAGGAGGGAAAGGGUGAAUAUCUCUCAACUCUAGGAUGUCAAACUACAUUUUCCAUGGUUCAAUGUGAUUUUCAAUUAUAAAAAAGGAUUACACGCCAGGCGUGGUGGCUCACGCCUGUAAUCCUAGCACUUUGGGAGACUGAGAUGCGUGGAUCACCUGAGGUCAGGAGUUCAAGACCAGCCAGACCAACAUGGUGAAACUCCGUCUCUACUAAAAAUACGAAAAUUAGCCGGGCGUGGUGGUGGGCACCUGUAAUCCCAGCUACUCGGGAGGCUGAGGCAGGAGAAUCGCUUCAACCCGGGAGGUGGAGAUUGCAGUGAGCCGAGAUUGAACCACUGACUCCAGCCAGGGCGACAGAGCAAGACUCCGUCUUGGCUUUAUCGUCCCCUUCUCCUUUCCAUGACCUCAGAGCCUCUCAUAAUGAAAAGAUCCAGGCUUCAUGUUUGGUUCUCAACUCAAGUUUGGAAGUUAAGAUGGAGAUUUGCAACUCAUUUCUUUGGAAGACAGGGGAUGGGAAAAGAAAUGAGGAAAGGAAGUGGAAAGAGAAGAAGAGCUGGUGUUUUAGAGGGAGACAAAACAAGCAGCACCAGAGAAUGAACUGCUUUUUCGUGCAUUGUUUCUUCUGG